AUUGAACGCUGGCGGCAUGCCUUACACAUGCAAGUCGAACGGCAGCGGACCUUCGGGUGCCGGCGAGUGGCGAACGGGUGAGUAAUAUAUCGGAACGUACCUUUCAGUGGGGGAUAACGUAGCGAAAGUUACGCUAAUACCGCAUAUUCUGUGAGCAGGAAAGCAGGGGAUCGCAAGACCUUGCGCUAGAUUGAGCGGCCGAUAUCAGAUUAGCUAGUUGGUGAGGUAAAGGCUCACCAAGGCGACGAUCUGUAGCGGGUCUGAGAGGAUGAUCCGCCACACUGGAACUGAGACACGGUCCAGACUCCUACGGGAGGCAGCAGUGGGGAAUAUUGCGCAAUGGGCGAAAGCCUGACGCAGCAACGCCGCGUGGGUGAAGAAGGUCUUCGGAUCGUAAAGCCCUGUCAGGAGGGACGAACAAAUGACGGUACCUCCAAAGGAAGCACUGGCUAACUCCGUGCCAGCAGCCGCGGUAAAGUCGUAACG
rnacentral:rRNA from 1 species